GACGAACGCUGGCGGCGUGCUUAACACAUGCAAGUCGAACGAAAAGAGGGAAAGAGCUUGCUCUUUCCGGAAUUGAGUGGCAAACGGGUGAGUAACACGUAAACAACCUGCCUUCAGGAUGGGGACAACAGACGGAAACGACUGCUAAUACCGAAUAAGUUCCAAGGGCCGCAUGGCCCAUGGAAGAAAAGGUGGCCUCUACCUGUAAGCUAUCGCCUGAAGAGGGGUUUGCGUCUGAUUAGCUGGUUGGAGGGGUAACGGCCCACCAAGGCGACGAUCAGUAGCCGGUCUGAGAGGAUGAACGGCCACACUGGAACUGAGACACGGUCCAGACUCCUACGGGAGGCAGCAGUGGGGAAUCUUCCGCAAUGGGCGAAAGCCUGACGGAGCAACGCCGCGUGAGUGAUGACGGCCUUCGGGUUGUAAAACUCUGUGAUCCGGGACGAAAAGGCAGAGUGCGAAGAACAAACUGCAUUGACGGUACCGGAAAAGCAAGCCACGGCUAACUACGUGCCAGCAGCCGCGGUAAUACGUAGGUGGCAAGCGUUGUCCGGAAUUAUUGGGCGUAAAGCGCGCGCAGGCGGCUUCCCAAGUCCCUCUUAAAAGUGCGGGGCUUAACCCCGUGAUGGGAGGGAAACUGGGAAGCUGGAGUAUCGGAGAGGAAAGUGGAAUUCCUAGUGUAGCGGUGAAAUGCGUAGAGAUUAGGAAGAACACCGGUGGCGAAGGCGACUUUCUGGACGAAAACUGACGCUGAGGCGCGAAAGCGUGGGGAGCAAACAGGAUUAGAUACCCUGGUAGUCCACGCCGUAAAC
rnacentral:rRNA from 1 species